AAGGAUCAUUACCGAAUAAAAUCCGGCUGUGUUGUUGCUGUCCUCCCUGGAAUGUGCACACCCAGCUGUUGGUUUCCACCUUCACCCGUGCACCUCUCUGUAGGCGGGUCUUGCUUGGCAUCUGAAAGCCCAAGGCGCCGUUUGGUCGCUUUGAGGAUGGCAUUUUGCUGGGCAAUGCACCGGUCUACGUAUCUCUGUACAACCCUACUUAGAAUGCUUCUUUGUGUUUGGUUUUAAUACAAACUACAACUUUCGGCAACGGAUCUCUGGGCUCUC
rnacentral:misc_RNA from 1 species